rnacentral:rRNA from 1 species
AUGAACGCUAGCUACAGGCUUAACACAUGCAAGUCGAGGGGCAGCAUGGUCUUAGCUUGCUAAGGCCGAUGGCGACCGGCGCACGGGUGAGUAACGCGUAUCCAACCUGCCUUACACUCUUGGACAGCCUUCUGAAAGGGAGAUUAAUACAAGAUGUUAUCAUGAGUAAGCAUUUUCGCAUGAUUAAAGGUUUACCGGUGUAAGAUGGGGAUGCGUUCCAUUAGAUAGUAGGCGGGGUAACGGCCCACCUAGUCUUCGAUGGAUAGGGGUUCUGAGAGGAAGGUCCCCCACAUUGGAACUGAGACACGGUCCAAACUCCUACGGGAGGCAGCAGUGAGGAAUAUUGGUCAAUGGACGAGAGUCUGAACCAGCCAAGUAGCGUGAAGGAUGAAGGUUCUAUGGAUUGUAAACUUCUUUUAUACGGGAGUAAACGAAUCCACGUGUGGAUUUUUGCAUGUACCGUAUGAAUAAGGAUCGGCUAACUCCGUGCCAGCAGCCGCGGUAAUACGGAGGAUCCGAGCGUUAUCCGGAUUUAUUGGGUUUAAAGGGAGCGUAGAUGGGUUGUUAAGUCAGUUGUGAAAGUUUGCGGCUCAACCGUAAAAUUGCAAUUGAUACUGGCAGUCUUGAGUACAGUUGAGGUAGGCGGAAUUCGUGGUGUAGCGGUGAAAUGCUUAGAUAUCACGAAGAACUCCGAUUGCGAAGGCAGCUUACUAACCUGUAACUGACAUUGAUGCUCGAAAGUGUGGGUAUCAAACAGGAUUAGAUACCCUGGUAGUCCACGCUGUAAACGAUGAUUACUAGGUGUGGGGGGUCUGACCCCUUCCGUGCCGGAGUUAACACAAUAAGUAAUCCACCUGGGGAGUACGGCCGCAAGGUUGAAACUCAAAGGAAUUGACGGGGGCCCGCACAAGCGGUGGAGUAUGUGGUUUAAUUCGAAGCAACGCGAAGAACCUUACCAGGCCUUGACAUCCCUUGCAGAGGUAUAGAGAUAUAUCCGAGGUUAUCAAGGAGACAGGUGGUGCAUGGUUGUCGUCAGCUCGUGCCGUGAGGUGUCGGCUUAAGUGCCAUAACGAGCGCAACCCUUGCCGAUAGUUACUAACAGGUUAUGCUGAGGACUCUGUCGGGACUGCCAUCGUAAGAUGUGAGGAAGGUGGGGAUGACGUCAAAUCAGCACGGCCCUUACGUCCGGGGCUACACACGUGUUACAAUGGGGGGUACAGAGGGCUGCUACCACGCAAGUGGAUGCCAAUCCCAAAAACCUCUCUCAGUUCGGAUUGAAGUCUGCAACCCGACUUCAUGAAGCUGGAUUCGCUAGUAAUCGCGCAUCAGCCACGGCGCGGUGAAUACGUUCCCGGGCCUUGUACACACCGCCCGUCAAGCCAUGGGAGCCGGGGGUACCUGAAGUGCGUAACCGCAAGGAGCGCCCUAGGGUAAAACUGGUGACUGGGGCU